UCGAUGAUUAGGGAUGCUCUAAGUUUUA
rnacentral:piRNA from 1 species